rnacentral:rRNA from 1 species
UACGUAGGGCGCAAGCGUUAUCCGGAAUUAUUGGGCGUAAAGAGCUCGUAGGCGGUUUGUCGCGUCUGCCGUGAAAGUCCGGGGCUUAACCCCGGAUCUGCGGUGGGUACGGGCAGACUAGAGUGCAGUAGGGGAGACUGGAAUUCCUGGUGUAGCGGUGAAAUGCGCAGAUAUCAGGAGGAACACCGAUAGCGAAGGCAGGUCUCUGGGCUGUAACUGACGCUGAGGAGCGAAAGCAUGGGGAGCGAACAGG